rnacentral:misc_RNA from 1 species
GCAAACUUGGUCAUUUAGAGGAAGUAAAAGUCGUAACAAGGUCUCCGUUGGUGAACCAGCGGAGGGAUCAUUACCGAGUUUACACUCCCAAACCCCUGUGGACCUAUACCUUUACUGUUGCCUCGGCGGGCACGGCCGCGGACGCCCCCUCGCGGGGGCACCGGGGCCAGGCGCCCGCCGGAGGACCCAAACCCUUCUGUAUUUUCUUACGCAUGUCUGAGUGGAUUUACAAAUGAAUCAAAACUUUCAACAACGGAUCUCUUGGUUCUGGCAUCGAUGAAGAACGCAGC